GACCCACACUUGUCCCCCAGCCCCACGCCGCGACCCACUCGUGUCCCCUGACCCCACAGGACCCCACUCACGUGUCGCAGGGCGCCGGCGAAGCACUCGCGGGCGGCUUCCACGUCGCCGCGGCGCCACCGCGCUUCGCCCAGGCGGGUCCCCCAGCCCCACAUGUGUCCCCCAGCCCCACGGCGCGACCCACACGUGUCCCCACGACCCACUGGUGUCCCCCGACCCCACUCACGUGUCAUAAAGCACCAACAAAACAGGCCCAGGUGGCUUCCACGUCCCCGUGGCACCCUGCCAAGACCCAGACGUGUCCCCUGGUCCCACAUCAAGACCCACACGUGUCCCCCAGCCCCACGCCGUGACCCACACGUGUCUCCCAGCCCCACAGGACCCCACUCACGUGUCGCAGGGCGCCAACGAAACAGGCCCAGGUGGCUUCCACGUCCCCACGGCGCCACACCGUGACCCACAUGUGUCCCCCAGCCCCACACCGUGACUCACACGUGUCCCCCAGCCCCACGCCGCGACCCACACGUGUCCCCCAGCCCCAUGGCGCGACCCACACGUUUUCCCCACGACCCACUCGUGUCCCCCGACCCCACUCACGUGUCGCAGGGCACCGGCGAAGCGCUCGCGGGCGGCUUCCACGUCCCCACGGUGCCACCCCCAGCCCCACACGUGUCYCCCAGCCCCACACCGUGACCCACACGUGUCCCCCAGCCCCACGGCGCGACCCACACGUGUCCCCGCGACCCCACUCGCGUCCCCCGACCUCACUCACGUGUCACAAGGCACCAACGAAACAGGCCCAAGUGGCUUCCACGUCCCCACAGCACCACGCCGUGACCCACACGUGUCCCCCAGCCCCACGGCGGGACCCACACGUGUCCCCGCGACCCCACUCAUGUCCCCUGACCCCACCCACAAGUUGCAGGGCGCCGGCGAAACAGUCCCGGGUGGCUUCCACGUGUCCCCCAGCCCCACGCCAAGACCCACACGUGUCCCCCAGCCCCACACCGUGACCCACUCGUGUCCCCCGACCCCACAGGACCCCACUGACGUGUCACAAGGCGCCAAUGAAACAGUCCCGGGUGGCUUCCACGUCCCCACGACACCACGCCGUGACCCACACGUGUCCCCUGGUCCCACGCCGCGACCUACACGUGUCCCCCAGCCCCACGGCGUGACCCACUCAUGUCCCCGCGACCCCACUCGUGUCCCCCGACCCCACUCACGUGUCGCAGGGCGCCGGCGAAACAGUCCCGGGUGGCUUCCACGUGUCCCCCAGUCCCACGCCAAGACCCACACGUGUCCCCCAGCCCCACACCGUGACCCACACGUGUCCCCCAGCCCCACGCCAAGACCCACACGUGUCUCCGUGACCCACUUGUGUCCCCUGACCCCACUCACGUGUCGCAGAGCGCCGGCGAAACAGUCCCGGGUGGCUUCCAC
rnacentral:lncRNA from 1 species